UACGGGGGGGGGCAAGCGUUGUUCGGAAUUACUGGGCGUAAAGGGCGCGUAGGCGGCCCGCUAAGUCGAACGUGAAAUCCCUCAGCUUAACUGGGGAACUGCGUCUGAUACUGGAUGGCUUGAGUUUGGGAGAGGGAUGCGGAAUUCCAGGUGUAGCGGUGAAAUGCGUAGAUAUCUGGAGGAACACCGGUGGCGAAGGCGGCAUCCUGGACCAAUACUGACACUGAGGAGCGAAAGCCAGGGGAGCAAACGGG
rnacentral:rRNA from 1 species